GAUGAACGCUGGCGGCGUGCCUAAUACAUGCAAGUCGAGCGAACGGACGAGAAGCUUGCUUCUCUGAUGUUAGCGGCGGACGGGUGAGUAACACGUGGAUAACCUACCUAUAAGACUGGGAUAACUUCGGGAAACCGGAGCUAAUACCGGAUAAUAUUUUGAACCGCAUGGUUCAAAAGUGAAAGACGGUCUUGCCGUCACUUAUAGAUGGAUCCGCGCUGCAUUAGCUAGUUGGUAAGGUAACGGCUUACCAAGGCAACGAUGCAUAGCCGACCUGAGAGGGUGAUCGGCCACACUGGAACUGAGACACGGUCCAGACUCCUACGGGAGGCAGCAGUAGGGAAUCUUCCGCAAUGGGCGAAAGCCUGACGGAGCAACGCCGCGUGAGUGAUGAAGGUCUUCGGAUCGUAAAACUCUGUUAUUAGGGAAGAACAUAUGUGUAAGUAACUGCGCACAUCUUGACGGUACCUAAUCAGAAAGCCACGGCUAACUACGUG
rnacentral:rRNA from 1 species